rnacentral:tRNA from 1 species
UGGGGUGUAGCUCAGCAGCAGAGUGCUUGCCUAGCACGCGUGAGUCACUGGGUUUGAUACUCAGCACCCUGU